rnacentral:rRNA from 1 species
GUAACACGUGGAUAACCUACCUAUAAGACUGGGAUAACUUCGGGAAACCGGAGCUAAUACCGGAUAAUAUAUUGAACCGCAUGGUUCAAUAGUGAAAGACGGUUUUGCUGUCACUUAUAGAUGGAUCCGCGCCGCAUUAGCUAGUUGGUAAGGUAACGGCUUACCAAGGCAACGAUGCGUAGCCGACCUGAGAGGGUGAUCGGCCACACUGGAACUGAGACACGGUCCAGACUCCUACGGGAGGCAGCAGUAGGGAAUCUUCCGCAAUGGGCGAAAGCCUGACGGAGCAACCCCCCGUGAGUGAUGAAGGUCUUCGGAUCGUAAAACUCUG